UGAGUAACACGUAUCCAACCUGCCGUCUACUCUUGGACAGCCUUCUGAAAGGAAGAUUAAUACAAGAUGGCAUCAUGAGUCCACAUGUUCACAUGAUUAAAGGUAUUCCGGUAGACGAUGGGGAUGCGUUCCAUUAGAUAGUAGGCGGGGUAACGGCCCACCUAGUCUUCGAUGGAUAGGGGUUCUGAGAGGAAGGUCCCCCACAUUGGAACUGAGACGCGGUCCAA
rnacentral:rRNA from 1 species